GUGGAGCUGCAGAGUGCAAAGCUGAAGCAAUUAAGAAAGUUAGUGAGAAGAGAGAGAGAGAAAGAGAGAGAGGGGAAAGAGAAAGAGAAAGCGCGCACACUCACUGGCUGUUUGCAGAGGUUUUUUUUUUUUUUUUUAAUUUCUUUAUUUUAAGUUUUAUGCCACUCAGCAAAAGUUUGGUAAAAUGCAUCAGGCUAAGUUUGUGCACAAAUAUGAGCACCGUGCAUGUGCUGGCUGAGUGUAAAAAAUGGGAAAGAAGUUUGCGCUUGAUCGCCAGUGAUGUGGAGUUUUCACUGAAGACUUUGGGAUGAAGAGGAGGAUGAAGAGACACAAACUGAUGUGAGGCGCUGGGUUGAGACAGUUUCACCACUUCACUUAAACACAUCUGUUGCGAUGCAGCAUCUGUGAGGAUCGUGACUUCACUGUCAUCGUGAGAUGUGGAGGUUGGUGACCGCAGGCAGAAGAGGAGGGGGUUGCUCUGUGCUGUGGUCUGCAGCUGUUGGUUCCUGGCAGAGUAAAUAGUGAUGUGGAGUUGCUUUGGGAAUAAUUUGGUUAGAUGUUUGACAGGAAAAACAAAUUCAAGAGGUUUGAAGGGGCAGUAAGUCUUUUUUUUUUUUUUUUUAUUGCCACAGUGCCCCAGAUGACUAUAAAACACCUGCAGGAGGUUGAUAGCGCUGUUCAUUUUCCAGGUGCUGUGGUUUCUUUCUGGCUGUUUGGUUUGUGGGCUGUUUUGUAGAAAAGUCCCCACACCCAGUGAAGUCAUGCAGUUGAAAUCACUGCUGGCAGCGAGCAUGGCCAGUAAAAUGCGAGGCGACGAUCACUUGCCCAUCGCAGCCUGGCCUAAUCACCGCUAAAUACACCCAGUGUGGUUCACCAGUUCACAUAAGGACUUUUUCAUGAAGCAUCCUUUAUGAAGUUUGAAACUUUACAAAUGAGUAAGAAUAUGAUGAUGUGAAAGAAAAUGUUCUUUUUUUUUUUUUUUUUUUUGGAGCACAGUGAGGAGUCAACAAUGGUAAAUAAUAGAGCAGGACAACAUAGUGUAUGGAGAAGUAAGUGGAGAUGGUGAAAGAGGGAUUAUUAGAAGAAUCGGUAAGAGUUGAGUGUGAUUGACGGCAGCUACUGACAACACAGUCAGAUAAAGCUUUACGGAUGAUAACUGGACUCAUAUUUUUACUCUAUUUGAGAACUAUGUACCUAAUAUAGACUAUUUCAGACCCAAACCGAUGCUAGAAGCAUUUGAUUUGUGGUCGGUAGAAGGACUUUAAAGUGCCAGCUGUUGGUCGCGCUGGUAAAGUGACUCAGUCCAGGCCAGUGACUCAAAGCCAAAGAAAACCUGAAACACAUGAAGCUGUGAAAACAGGCAACCCGACAUGCACUCAGGUCGCCUCCAUCCCACCACAAACUCUGAAUUAGAUCAGAAAAAUCUGAUAAUUGUAAAAGUCAGAUUGGAUGUUUUUGCAUGCACUUGAGUUUGCUUAUUUGUAAUCAGUAAGAGAAGCUCCAUAUACGUAUACCACCACACCCGUCUACCUCACCUGCGAACUUUGCACAGUGAACUGUUACACCUACCUAUUUAUCCUUUUAUCCUGCUUUUUUAUACAUACAAUACUGUACAUAUUUUUCUGCUUAUAUUUGUGUAUUUGCAUAUAUCUGUAUUUGAAAAGGAGAAACUGUGGGUAAUUUCAUUAUACAUAAUGAAAAUAAAACUUUUCUGAAUCUGAUUUUGUUCCCAAAACAUCUGGCCUUGUCUUGUUGAACUAAUAAGUCAGGAAUACAUGCGAGAAGGCAUUGCUCAUUGAGUCACAUUAUGGCUUUUAAGAUUACGUAUUUAAGAUCUAAUCUGAUUACUCCUAAAACCUGAUAACUACGGGCCUCAUUUAUAAAGAUUGCCUACGUACCAAACGGAGCCUGAAAGAGGUGUACAACACUUCCUAUGCAAAUGUUGGGAUUUUAAAAAAUUAAGUUUAUGUGAGAAUGUGUGCACUGCUACAUUAAUUUAAUUUUUUUUCCUCCCUUCCUUCUAACCUGCCCUGUCCAGCAUCGAAGCUGCAUAAUAAAGGUCUGGCUGCUGUAAUGUGCCCGACAGAUUUGCUCUUCCAUGAGGAGCUUAUAAUUACAAAGCGCUGUUAGUGUGUGUCCUUCGCAAUAUUUUAUAAAUAAGGCCCCAGAUUUUUAGUUAGUGUGUAAAUGGACUCACUAUCUAAGGAUCACUAGCCCUGUUUACAUGGGUCCAAAAACCCUCCUUAUGAUCAGAACAUGAGUUUAAACAGAUUGUAAACGUCUCAUAUAAACACCAAAGUGAAUCCGACUCACUCGGUCCGGAUUAAAUUUCUGAUCAGAUUGUAGGAGGAAAAAUAAUCCACUUGAUGCUUCAUAUAAACAGCUGAAGACGGAGGACCAUGUUAUAUGAGCGGAUUACUCUUUCUGUGCAUGUGAUCCCUGUUAGUCAUGUGGUGACGUGCCCGGAAAACAGUAAGCAGGAGGCAGUAAAGUCGAACCGGGCGGCGGUGGCGGCCUGCUGCCGGGCGGCAUAUCACAGAGUUGGUAGGAAGGUUGUUUGAGCAGAUAUCCAGCGGAUAAAAACUCACCUGUAGGCGCUGAAGACUACUGACUACAAAGCUAAAGAUCAGAACCUGAUAGGGAAUGACGAAGAUAGCGUAUCAUCGGCUUCAGCUGUGGCCCAUGUAUAGCAGGACUGAACAUGGAUGAUUUAUUUAGCAUUCAUGUGUACAGAUACUUUUAAUCCCACUGUUUUUAAUUCGGUUGAAAGAAAAGCACCCAUGUAAACGGAGCCGUUGUGAGUCAUCAUUGCUUUACUAUGAAAAUCUGGCACGUUGGGAAGAAAAUGAAUACUUAGAAAUGGCUGCUAUCGGGUUGCUGAAGAAGUUUGAUCAUCAAUGUUGUUUUUCCAAAUUCAUUAAACCUUUGAACAGCUCGAACAAGACUUCAGUCAAAGAUCAGAGCAAUUUAAAAAAGUGAAUUCAAGGCAGACUACAUGAACUAGCUUUUCCUGUGUGCCACAUUCAUUUAACCUGUAUUUGAACAGUUGAAAUCUCUGUAAAAUAAUAAAAACAACUCUCAAUCAGUUUGUCUGAGCUGCAGAACACAGAUCCAAGAUUUGUUUAAUCUUCAUCUCAUCAGAGCUUCAACUAAUCAUUUUUGUUGGUAUUUAUUUUCAUUGGCAAUAAUUUAAUCAAUUAGAUGUCAGAUUACAGGGAAAGUUUACAUAACAAACAGGAAUUUUACAACAGUCUAACACUCGGAAAUUUACCUUGGAAUUAUACAAUUAAAUUCACAACAAAGUGUACCGUUCCGGCACAGUGCAGUGGAAAUGAGGCUUUAAACAACUGGAACCAGAAUCAUCCACUUCAUCAUGUCAGUCUUAACAAAAUGUGCUUUAUUGUGGAGAAAUGACACACACCAACCAUUUUUUCCAGAAAGUCUUAUUUCCAGAUCCAUCGAUAGAGCAUAGCCUUCUUUUGGAAAGUAAAAAAUCAAGUGUAAUUGAACACUUGUGAUUUGGUUUCAUAGCUGAUAGCUGAACUUGUGGCUGCAUGAGACUGCUGAGUAAUGUUGCAGUGAAACUCAACAUGUUGUCAAUAACAGACUGCGUGAGUUUCAUCACCCUCGGGCUAUUGUCACACAUUAAGCCUCAGUUUUUUAACUUCAUAAUGUGGUGAGCUCACGCAUUUUUCACGAGCAAUUCACUUUUCCUAAACAGAUUCCUCCCUGAGGAGAAGCGGACUUCCAUUUCCUCUUAGAUUAACUCCAUUUUUCUGACAUUUGUCUCCUCAGUCUGAAAUGAUCAAACGCAUGAGAACAAUAGGAGCUUUUAGUGUGUGUUAGGAACACUUGAACAUAAUGCAGCCCAGCUCAACAUUACUACAAACUGCAGUCUCAUCAUGUGAAUAAGUAUAAUCUGAAUUUCAUUAGAAUUAAAUUUGUUCAUCUAGAACUUAGAACAGAGAUAUACCAGAUCAUGAAAAAAUUGAUAUAAUGAAUGAUCGUGCCAUCUAAAGCAUUACAAUGUAGCAUUUUGGGGAAUUUUGAUUGAUUUGGAUCAUUUGAUCUGAUAUAGUUUGAUCCCUGCUGCUGUCACGGUCACUGCUGACCUUCGUUUGGGACUUUAUCCUUCUUAAUGUUCAGCCUGUAGUUUAACCCUCAUGAGCUUUACUUAUCACGGAAAGUAAGAGCUUUGCUCUCAGUGUUGCUGCAGUUAAAAGGAGCAUGCAUUUGUGGAAUGACCAGCAGAGCGGCACAUCCAUGUGUCAAAUACUAAUUGAAGGAGCAAUGUGUGUGCAGGCUGGACAUCGUGAAGAGACCACUGAUGAUAUGGUUCUUCAGACUCAACCCAGUCGAUACAAGAAACUAGAGUUAAUAGAAAAAUAUUUUGAGAACUUUUCUCAGGUUGAACUUAUAAACUCGCCUCACUGCUCAUCCCUCAAAUGCAUGCUUCUUAUGACGGUAGCGUCACUGAAAGCACAUAACCAACCACUUAUUAUCAAGAAGCACAGUCGCAUCAAAUAAAUAACAUACCAAGCUCAGAUUUCCCUACAUUUGUGCUGUUUAUGAAACCUUAUUAUUAAAAAAAGUAAGAACUUCAUAUGGAAAGUAUAAGCAUUGAAAACUGAUAUUUCCUCCUGAGUUGAGUUAGAAUUAAAAAAGAAAAAAAAUACACUCCACAAAGUAGAAGUAAAAAUACAGUUUUCAAAGGCCGUGAGUGACUGAUCGCUGUGUGACGAGGAAGUGUCUCUGUUCUCCAGGAAUACAAUGUCAAGUGUCUGUUAUCAGCCAGGCAGAGACAGACUUCAAAAGUGAGACGUAAGGAAGUCAGGCAGCUGAAAGAGAGCGUGUGAACUAGGAAGAGAGGGACAAAUAGCAAACAGUGAGGAGUGCGUGUGAAAGAAGAGCAGGACAGAGUGAGUCAGAGUGAGAGAGUGAAAGAGGGGGAGAGAGGGAGGCGAGGGAGGGAGGGCAGAUAUAUUUGGGCGCCUAUAAAGCUGAGCGUGCUUCUUCUUUUUUGUCUUCAGCAGAAAUGAACCCUGCCUGUAAGAAAUGACAAUACAUCAAUAAAACCUCUCAAACUAAGGAAGCUGUCUGCUGUGUUUGUUGGUAUGCCUGGAAAAAAAGCUGCAGUUUCUAAAAAUGACAAGCAGGAACACAUAAAGACUGAGGUAUGCACUAAAUAAAUCAGGCAUCGUUUGUCCCUAUUUUAUUAAGCGACGACGUUUUAAUUGAGUACAUUUAUUUCCAUCAAACAGGAAAACUGGUUCAUUUUUAAUGUCUGUGACUGACAAAGUGUAGUUUUACUAUCCAGCGAUGCUGAUAAUCAGCUACACUUACACUAGAGUUACACACUUCCACUGUGAAAUAUGCUAAAAAACACUGAAAAAAUAUGUCGCAACACCUCUCACUGGAAUUUUGCUUUUGCUGGUUUUUGUUGGUUUAGCGUCUCGGCCUCGCGUCUUGCUGCGGACGUGUGACUGAGGAUGUGUCACCACGCCCUGCAGAGGUGCAUCGCGCCUCAAACCAGUGGGGCUGACGGGCUGUUUAACGUCGCGUUACAGAGAUCGCCCGACAUUUCACCUGAAUAUCUUUCAUGAAAGAAAAAGACGCCAGCCUCCUGACGAGCUGGGGGGGGG